rnacentral:rRNA from 1 species
UACGGAGGGUGCAAGCGUUGUCCGGAAUCACUGGGCGUAAAGGGCGCGUAGGCGGCUCAUGAAGGCUGUGGUGAAAGUCCGGGGCUCAACCUCGGAUCGGCCGUGGCGACUCGUGGGCUGGAGCACUGUAGAGGCGGGUGGAAUUCCGGGUGUAGCGGUGGAAUGCGUAGAGAUCCGGAAGAACACCGGUGGCGAAGGCGGUCUGCUGGGGGUAAUGCUGACACUGAUGCGCGACAGCGUGGGGAGCAAACAGG